AGAGUUUGAUCCUGGCUCAGAUUGAACGCUGGCGGCAUGCCUUACACAUGCAAGUCGAACGGUAACAGGUCUUCGGAUGCUGACGAGUGGCGAACGGGUGAGUAAUACAUCGGAACGUGCCCGAGAGUGGGGGAUAACGGAGCGAAAGCUUUGCUAAUACCGCAUACGAUCUACGGAUGAAAGCAGGGGACCGCAAGGCCUUGCGCUCAUGGAGCGGCCGAUGGCAGAUUAGGUAGUUGGUGGGAUAAAAGCUUACCAAGCCGACGAUCUGUAGCUGGUCUGAGAGGACGACCAGCCACACUGGGACUGAGACACGGCCCAGACUCCUACGGGAGGCAGCAGUGGGGAAUUUUGGACAAUGGGCGCAAGCCUGAUCCAGCCAUGCCGCGUGCAGGACGAAGGCCUUCGGGUUGUAAACUGCUUUUGUACGGAACGAAAAGACUCUGGAUAAUACCU
rnacentral:rRNA from 1 species